UACGAAGGGGGCUAGCGUUGCUCGGAAUCACUGGGCGUAAAGGGUGCGUAGGCGGGUCUUUAAGUCAGGGGUGAAAUCCUGGAGCUCAACUCCAGAACUGCCUUUGAUACUGAAGAUCUUGAGUUCGGGAGAGGUGAGUGGAACUGCGAGUGUAGAGGUGAAAUUCGUAGAUAUUCGCAAGAACACCAGUGGCGAAGGCGGCUCACUGGCCCGAUACUGACGCUGAGACGCGAAAGCGUGGGGAGCAACAG
rnacentral:rRNA from 1 species